rnacentral:rRNA from 1 species
CUUGAGUUGUUGCUGGCUCCUUGGAGCAUGUGCACACUUCAUGAUGACAACCACCUGUGCACCUUUUGUAGAUUGUUCGAGCUCAAUUUCAGAGGAAACUCUGGUUUGGGUGCUGCUAUAGCACCUGUGGGCUCUGCAUGAUCUAUGCUUUUUUACAAACACCUUAAUGUAUGUCAAUGAAUGUGGUCUAAUAAACCUAAUACAACUUUCAACAACGGAUCUCUUGGCUCUCGCAUCGAUGAAGAACGCAGCGAAAUGCGAUAAGUAAUGUGAAUUGCAGAAUUCAGUGAAUCAUCGAAUCUUUGAACGCACCUUGCGCCCCUUGGUAUUCCGAGGGGCAUGCCUGUUUGAGUGUCAUUAAAUUCUCAACCCCAACAUGUUUGGGGCUUGGAUUGCUGGGGGUUUGCUGGCUUUCACAAGUCGGCUCCUCUUAAAUGCAUUAGCAAGACCUUUUGUCUCAGCCUUUGGGUGUGAUAAACAUCUACGCCUGGCAUGAAUGAGAUAGGAAGUCUGGCUCUCUAAUCGUCCUUUUCAAGGACAAUUCAUUGACCAUUUGACCUCAAAUCAGGUAGGACUACCGCUGAACUUAAGCAUAUCAUAA